AUUAAUGCUGAGUAUGUAAUUUUUCAAUCAAAUAAAUGAGAGAAAAUCUAUUUGAUUAAAAAUGUAAUACAAAAUAUUAUCUGAAAAGUAUCAUUUCUAAAGUAAAGAUUAGAACAAAAUAUUUUGCAAAAGUAUUAGUAUAUCUAAAUCAUAUUAUAUCGCCAGUUAAGUUCUAUAAUAAAAGUUAUCUAAUAUUAAUAUAUAUAUAUAUCGCCAGCAUAAAAUAACUGCAAAGUACUGCUCAAAGAAAAAGGUUACUGCCUCACAUCAGAAGGUGUACAUACAGUAAUGUUGUUGAAAUGAAUGAGAAUGCAAUGGUAGAAUAAAACAGAUACAUAAAAAAUGACAACAUCACAAAGAUGCAUUAAAAUGAAACAUCACAAACAUUGUUUCAUUUUAGCUGACACUGAUAGAUAAAAAAGUGUACUGAAUUGUUUGAAAGUUACAAAAUUGUGGGACCCUUUUAUAACAACCAUAUUUGUAUCUAUUUAAAUAGAACCACUACAAAAAUAAUUAAUUUUAGGCGAGGUUGUUUUCCUGCGGUUUUUAAAACCUCAACUAAUUUCCGGCGAUUUAUAACAAAACCGUCCCUAAUAUUUAGUUAUUUAUUUAUUUUAGAAUAAUUUUUCCCUAACCCUAGUGUCCUUUCCACUCCUUCAUUCCCGCUUCUGCCUCUUGGUCUUAUUUUCUCCAAAAUCUAUUUGUUCCCCGUGCCGUUUCUUCGUCUUCAAACCAGGUGUGGAGUUGUUUCUUCAUCUUCAAACAAGGUGCGGAGCUCUUGGGCUUGAUUCCACUUUGGCAAUUAAACUUGCAAAGAAAUCUGUCGAGAAGAGAAACAAGGAAGCCCGUUGCGGAAGAAGUUGAUAGAGUCAUACCUAAUCCGCUGUGCGAUGGCCUCUGUCCGUGGGUGUGGUGGUAGGGAACUUUUUUCGCGAUAAUGGUGUUUCAGUGUCUUCACGGCGAGUUUCCGGUGACUCAGGUGCGGCGUUUUCACGACGCGAGGAUCUCGUUCUCCAGCGUUUUAGCGACAACAGAGACUUGGAUGGAAUUCACGAUUUAUUUAAGGUUUGAAUUCGAGUUCUAUUUUUAGGGAUUUGAAUGGGGUUUUCUUUCGGUGUCCCAUGAUUUUGGGUAUGGUUGUGGAGGAGAAGAAAUUCCAGGUAUGGAAGCUAUUUUAGUGGGAUUGAUUGCUUGUAUGUGGUACGAUAUGCUUUUCCCCUAUUUUAAUGUUCAUUCCAGUAUAAUUGUAUGUUUGGGGAAUUAAAAAUAGAAUACUCUUCUAAUCCUUGUAACUGAGGUCUCUCUGCAUUUCUUUGAUAUUCCUUAGGUACAUAUUGCAGUUGUUGUUAUCAAAGUUCUGAAUAUGGACUCAGGUAUAGUGAAAAAACGGAGGGGAGUGAAUAUGGGUCUGGGUAUGGUGGAAGGAAGAGUAGUGGGUAUGGGGAAGAACAGCAACAGGACAAUGGGUAUGGUUAUGGAGGGAGGAGUGAGUAUGAUGAGAAACCUAGCUAUGGGAGCCAAGGAGGUGUUGAGAAUGGUUAUGGGCAUCCACCUCAUGAAGAGGGCUACCGAAAGUCUUGCUAUGAGAAGCGUGAUGAUGAUGAUGAUGAGGGCUAUGGACACAAGAAAUAUUCAAUAUAGGUGACCUGGAUAGCCUACUAUCAGUUCAGUUCAAGUGGAUCAUAAAGAAGAACAAAGAAUGAGUAGAAGACCACCUCCUAACAGUGCUAAGAGGUCAUCGAGCUUCGGUCACAGACAUUUCUUUUCAUCCCUUUAAGCCGAUAUUAUUCUCCGGUUCUGCUGAUGGUGAAGUCUGAAUUUGGGAUACCCUUCAACAUCGAACUGUGUCAUCUGCAUGGUUACAUAGUGCUGCACAUGGUAUUGUUGCUGUUGCUUGUGCUUCUUCCCUCGGAACCAAUAAAUUUGCCAGGUAUAUGAUAAAGAAGCAUGAAGAUAAUGAAGAACAAGAGUGAUAAUUGUUAUUGCAGAACACUUUUUAAUUUGUUAUGUAGAAGUUUAUUUUUAAUUUUUAGGACAAACAUUUGUUA